CAUGUUGACAAAAACCCCCACCACCACCACCACCAAUGCCAGAACCGACCGAGUGAAUAAUAUUAUCUCCACAGACUCCGGGCCGGCGAUGGAUUGGUGACCUGAUCAUGGCGCGACCUCAGGAGGACUGGAGGUUCGACCUCUGAUACACCUGGAGUGAAACCAUUAGAACAGCUGUAUUAUGGCCAUAUGGAUAUUUAAAGUACAUUUUAACAACUAUGAGAAAUUCAAGUUACAUAAAUAACCCAUAAUAAACACAACAAAACAAUGUUUUUUUUUUAUUUCAUUUUAGCUUUUAUUUUUCUUACACUGACCCUGGAGAAGCACUAUUUAAUUUACUUCAUUUAAUGAGCAAACUAACUAAGGUUACUAUUUGGUGUUUACUGCAAUCAAUUCUCUGUCUUUGAGAUGAAACAUCACUGCACAAACAUUUCUAUUUGAAGUGGUUGGAUAUUUAAGCGGGUGUCCAUUUUCACCUCGCUGUAGUAGGACGGUGAGCAGCAACACAAGCCAUCAAUGGACUGAAACAGUGAGAACGAGUCAGAACUUUUACUAGAAAACAUGCUGCUCCUAUCAAAAUGGCGUCAUCAUGCCCAUUAACCACGCAUACUCUAUAUACCUAUAUAUAGGCAUGAGACAACAAGAAACUAUUAAUAAGGUCAAAACCUCGGUUAAUUUAACUGCUUUGUGUUAAACUCUAAUUCCUCUCUUCUUUUAGUUGUUUCCAGUCCUGUGUGUUGUGUUCAUCGCCUAGAGUUUGUUUUAGGUUUUAGCCAGCACUUCUCAGCACUUAUCCCAACACCGCACACCACAAGUAAUAACUGUUUUAAGAUGCUAUCAGGCAGCACUUAGGGAAUGUGUUUUUGCAGUUCUAUGCAUGUAUAUUUUCUUUGCUCUGGAAAUGUGUGUGUGUUUAUGUGUCAACAGCCGCAGACAUGUAUUCCCAAAUUAGUCUGUGGUUUUGUCUGAGUUUUGGAAAAAGGAGCUCUCUGAAGCAGCUGAAAGAUGUGAUGGAUUUGCGUGUGUGUGCGUAUACGUUUUUGUGUGUGAAUAUGUGUGUGCUUGUGUUGCGUAUGUUUGCAUGCCCGCUGGCCUUCCUGUUAACUUGAUCCGCGCUCGUGUAAAGCUGUGAAUGCUGAGAAAUCAGGAAAAGAGUGAGGUCAUAAUGUGCUUAAGGCCACAUUGCUCAUAUCAGUUACAAGCUAAAGCAAGUAUACGCAUAGCCACACAAUAUCUUUUUUUAACUUGAGAUCUCAAUGUUUUACCAGCUUCUAAAUAAAUAUGCAGCAUUUCAUUUCCUCUGUUUUAAUAUGAAGCAUUAUGUUCUUAAUAGAUCAGAUAUCAGUUCUGGUCUUAUUGUUCAAAUACACACAAGUCUUAUUUCACAUUAAUCAGUCUGUUAUUUUAUAGAGGAGAAAGGCUUACCAUUUUUUUGGAUAAUUAUUUAUCAAAUGUCUCUUGUAAUUGCCAGAGUUCCUCAAACUGAACACUUUUCUUUUAUUACAGUUCUUUCUCUGAAUGAAAACAGUCCUUUGAGCGGGAGCAAGUAGUGAACAUUAUCACACUCGAUGCUCCCUGGAAAUGUGCACAAAUGAUGGAAAAACUUCUGCAUGUUAACAAAUUUCUUAAGUUUACAGCCUCAUAAUGAAGGCGCAGAGCUGCUCCUCCUGCUGUGUUAGCACUGUGGACGAGCAAACGGAGAGGAACAUAGCUGCGGUUGCAGCUUCGGGUGAAGCAUGUGCACAGGCUUAAGUCUGGUGUGCAGCUUUAUAUAUCUGAGCACAUGUUUUUACUGAAUCUCAGCCUCUUCAUCUGGUCUUCAUUUGGUUACAAAUGUUUCAGCGCUUCUGUACUUCACUGCCUCCACAUGUUUGUCAGACAAAAGGCCAAGAUGAGUUGGAAAGAGACAUUAAGAUGUGUGAAAUGCAAAGCCGAGUGCAACAGCACGUGUUGAUUUUAAAAAUAUGUCACACCAUCUUAUAGAUGCAAUAUGUAGCUGGAAUAGCUUUGUCCAUUGCUGGUUUAUGAAUGUUUUAGAGAUACAGGACUUUUU